CAAUAGCGUAUAUUAAAGUUGCUGCAGUUAAAAAGCUCGUAGUUGCAUUCCCGAGGCAAGGGAUUAGUCCGACCUUUGGUGGGUAUUUAAUCCUCUUGCCUCGUCCUUGAGUGGUGCUUCUUGGUAUUAAGUUAUCGAGGAGAUAGCCGCUCAUCGUUUACUGUGAGAAAAUUAGAGUGUUCAAAGCAGGCUUAUGCCGUUGAAUAUAUUAGCAUGGAAUAAUAAGAUAGGACCUCGGUACUAUUUUGUUGGUUUGAGAACCAAGGUAAUGAUGAAUAGGGACAGUUGGGGGUAUUCGUAUUCAGUUGUCAGAGGUGAAAUUCUUAGAUUUACGGAAGACGAACUACUGCGAAAGCAUUUACCAAGGAUGUUUUCAUUAA
rnacentral:rRNA from 1 species